GCCUGCGAUAGCUCAGUUGGUAGAAUGAGACUCUUAAAUCUCAGAGCUGCAGGUUUGAGCCCCGCAUUGGGCA